rnacentral:rRNA from 1 species
UACGGGGGGGGCAAGCGUUGUUCGGAAUUACUGGGCGUAAAGGGCUCGUAGGCGGCCAACUAAGUCAGACGUGAAAUCCCUCGGCUUAACCGGGGAACUGCAUCUGAUACUGGAUGGCUUGAGAUUGGGAGAGGGAUGCGGAAUUCCAGGUGUAGCGGUGAAAUGCGUAGAGAUCUGGAGGAACACCGAUGGCGAAGGCAGCCCCCUGGGCUAACACUGACGCUCAUGCACGAAAGCGUGGGGAGCAAACAGG